rnacentral:rRNA from 1 species
CAGUAGCCGCGGGAAUACGGAGGGCGCGAGCGUUACCCGGAUUUACUGGGCGUAAAGGGCGUGUAGGCGGCCUGGGGCGUCCCAUGUGAAAGGCCACGGCUCAACCGUGGAGGAGCGUGGGAUACGCUCAGGCUAGAGGGUGGGAGAGGGUGGUGGAAUUCCCGGAGUAGCGGUGAAAUGCGCGGAUACCGGGAGGAACGCCGAUGGCGAAGGCAGCCACCUGGUCCACUUCUGACGCUGAGGCGCGAAAGCGUGGGGAGCAAACCGGAUUAGAUACCCCCGUAGUCCCUGUCUCUUAUAC